CUUCUGGUGAGCAAUGGACGGUCAUAUGGAGCAACUGCACAAGAAGAUGGAACGUGUUGUCUGAGCUCUUGUGCUCAGACUCUUGAGAAUGGAAACAGCUUGGACUGUUUGGGAUGGGAAGAGAGGAAGACGAACAAUUAGGAAUUCUUGGUUCAAGAACUCUUCGGUUCAGAUAACUGAGAGGU
ensembl:ncRNA T11G6.11 ncRNA